CAUUAAGAGCUGUCAUAUUGCUUUUGGCAUUCAGAUGCAGCCAGAUUGCACACAUUUAUUUAUUUUUUUUUAUCUCAGAGGAAAAAAAUCCUGUCUAACCACUGCAGAUUGAAGAUGUUAAGUUUCCAGAUAAUUCUUUUGGGUCCUUUGCCAAUGGGCCACCAGUCACAUAGCAAUGUGAAGAAAAAAACUCCAUGAAAAGAGCAGAUGGUAUGGGGUAGGUCACUGAGCAGUUGAACUUCAGAAGAAAAAUGCCACACUUAGCUUCAGCUGCAUAGCAUUUAUUUUACUCUUUCUCUGUUAGCAAUGUGAUUUUUUUUAAUGCAAAACAGUUGUGACAGUAGAACUCCUAGUAUGGAUGAAGGAAGAGUUGUAGCUAGAUACACCAUACCAUACAUUCUAAACGUAUUUAUGUCGGCAUAGCUGCAUUCAUCUGUGCUUUGAUGAGCAGGCAAGUCCAUGGCUAGUAAUUCUUUGCUUAUUCUUGCUUUAUUGGCUGUCCUUUAAUUGAGGAUCUUACUGUUUACCCGGGGUUGCUGGCUGGUUUGUUAAGCUAUUUUUGCCAAGUCACUAUAGGAAAAGAAUACCUCAUUCCUCUUCCUAACAAUAGCUCUUAGGAAGUUCUCCUCCAAGACAGCUGGGUUCAGUGAGGGACACAUGCUUCUUUCAUCCUUAAUUAGAGGAUGGAAAUCUGGGAAGUAUCAAAGAUAUUUCUACUGUCACCAUGGUUUCUAAGCUCAUCAGAGAAACUGUGUGAGGUUGUUGCUAGCUUGGAGAAGUGGUUUAUCUAGUCCAAGGCAACAAAAAGCUAAAUGUUGGCAAAGUUGUACAAAUACCUUCUUCAGGAUAUGGGAAUGGAGGGAAGGGAGCUGAACAAUGAUCAAUGUUGUCCUCCCUAUGUUAGGACAACUAUUGACAAUCAACAUCAAGUCACAAAUGAACGCCUUGAUAAGGGGAAUCAGUCAUUUCCCUGCUUGACAACUGGGUGUUUGUGAUCCCUGUCUGAGCUGCAGAGUCUGUCUGAGGAGACAAGAAGUUGCGGUCAAGUCCAGCCCAGGAGGUACUGGCUCGUUGUAAGACACCAAGGAGAAGGUUUGCUUUCUUCAAGUCUCUUGGAAAAAAGCACCAGCCUCAACCAAAAGAACUGAGAGAAGCACAGUCUGGAGUUCUCUACUGCCUUAGAGCUCAAGUAAUGUAAGACUCAAAUACCAAUUUUCUUUCUGCCUAAAUCAUGAAGAAAUGUAACCUAAGUUUCUGCUACUUUGGAGAGUUCUUGAAAGCCUGAUCCAUGUGUGAAAGAGGACACCACUUCCACCAGAUCUAGACAAACUUGGAUAAGAAGCUUGGAUGUUAACUAGAUCCUGAAGAUGAAAUGAUAACACCCUCAUCUUUAAAAUCUCAGCUCAGACUACUCACUGUUUGCCUGUCCUGAGGUGAGACGAUAUGACUUCAUUCUGGUGAGAAGAGGUCUGAGAGAUCUCCCUCUGAUUUCUGUGCCUUUGAAGUUGGACAGAAAUGAGUCAAGGUAUACACUGCUCAGAAGAAUGAGGAAAGGUAUAUAUUAUGCAGCAGGAAGAACGUCCAGUGUCUAGAUUCCUAUCUGCAAAGAGGAUUGAAGAAGAAGGCAACCAGCAGCUCGCUUCCCUCAUGCCCCUAAUUUUGGCAAAGUCUCCUCACCAAAGUGGGAAGUAGCAGGCUGCCUACCUGAUCUUGAUGCUUUUACUCCACUGCUUCUGUGCAGGAGAGUGAAGAAAGUGACUGCCUGCAGACCAGCUGAAUGAAAGGGUUGCCUCUGAAGGGCGACAAGGCUGCCCACGUGCAGCUAGCCUUUGGCAGAGCCUCCUGUUACGUAGCACCCUGUGCAUCUUGCGCUGCAGUGAAUUCCCUGCUUUCUUCUCUCAGCAGUCUUCUUGUUACCUACUGUUCUGAUUAGUCAUAGCUUCACCCUGAAGUCUUUUUAUAAUUCAUUCCAACAUAAUACGCCUAGGAGAUUAAACAUGGCAGAGUCUCAAUGUGUUUGGUAGAAUCUGGUGGGUGCCCACAUCCUUCUUGUAUCGUCAUCCUGUACCAAUGUUUUCCACAGUGUGGGCCUGAGACUUGGUGUGGAAAUCCUGUGUGGGAAACUUGUAGAAUGAAACAAUCUUCCAUGGAAUGAUGAGUUGUCAUUGUUCUUUACAGAAAUUGCAAAUGUUCACCUGUUUUGGAAAUCAGGCUACUUUUCUGGGAUCCUGCGCAUCCUAUAAGCAUCUGAAAAAUUUGAAAGUUGUGGCAUUUAGAUGUUAUAUUCUUUUACUGCCAAGUUAGGAGAGAGAGCUUUAGAAAUAGACUAGAGCAAAGAACUCAGCAUAUCCUUCCUUCUCCACAUGUCAAUCCAACAACUGUGCAGUACCUUCUAAGGCCCAGCCUGCAGUGAGUUUUUAUAAAACAAACACCACCUCAGGUAAGAGUGACACAAUACAUAAGCAGUGGAAGUGCUGAUGGCACAUCUGUGCAGAAGCUUUCCAUGCAAUGCUUUGGUUUCCCAGAAAUGAUACAAGGAGAGUAAGGAGAAAAAAAGAAAACCUUAAGUAAAAAUCAGCACAUGAUUUGCAUGGUUUAGCAAAACGUGGCUCCUGUCACAGGCUGGCUGACUGCAGCUUAAAAUAACUUAUUUAAGAAUCAGAGGCAAUUUGUCAUUCCUUUAAAAAAAACAACUGCUAGAUUAUUAGGAAUAAAACAAACUGGGUCUAGCCAGGGCUUCAAUUCCACCUCUGACUUGUUAAGAGGAGAUUUUACUAUUCACGCGGUAAUGUGACAAUUAUUUAAAUGUUGCAGGAGAAAAUACAGUAAACUUUGGCAAUUCAUAGGAAAGAUGCAAACCUAUAUAUUAAAGUAGAUAAAUACCUGCCAUGCUUCUGGUGUCUCCAUUAAGCUGAACAGUAUAGUCAGGAUACCAGCCUCGUGUCUGUCCCCCUGGCAAUGAUCCCUGCUUUUGGUGUCCCUCAGUCUGGCCCUGUAAUGCCAUAGGAAGGAAGAUGCUGGAGAGAAGAAGGAGCAGAAGGGGAAAGAGCAAAGCAGCACCAGGCACACAGCACAGCCUUCGCUCUGUCAGCAUGUCAAGAACAGGCCAUUAAGAAGAGGAAAUGUCCUCUAUCAGAACAUAAAGGCCCAAUUUCUCUGUACAACAAGCACAUCCAUGUCAUACGGAGUCUCAGAUGCAGCUCUGCCUAUAUGCAAGACUGAUCUUAUUAUUCUGGGAUCUCUCAUUCAUCAUCAUUACAGUCGGGUUCCUGCAGCUUCUUAGGGAACAUACUCAUAUUUCUGAUUAACAAAUGCUUCACCUUUCUGAUUUAAUCUAUUAUUUUGGCUAUCUAGCCUGUCUAAUCUCAGGCUUGUCUCUUUAUCAGCAUUAUUUAUACAGCACAAAAU